GAACGCACCUUGCACCCUUUGGUAUUCCGAAGGGUACACCCGUUUGAGUGUCAUUGUACUCUCACGCCCAAAGGUUUUCGAACCAGAGGGACCGUGGACUUGGACGCCUUGCCGCUUCACUGCGACACGUCUCAAAUGCGUUAGUAUGACCGGCUUGCGAAAGCGUCAUCUGGUGUGAUAAGCAUCUUCACCGGAGUUCAGGGGACCCUCUCAGAGGAACCCGCGCUCAGCUCGCCUUUGGUCGGCUGCCAACUGUCCGCUCUGGACAAACCUUGACAAUUUGACCUCAAAUCGGGUGGGACUACCCGCUGAACUUAAG
rnacentral:misc_RNA from 1 species